CCCUUAGAUGUCCGGGGCCGCACGCGCGCUACACUGAAGGAAUCAGCGUGGCUUUCUCCCUGACCCGAAAGGGUUGGGAAACCCGUUGAAUCUCCUUCGUGAUAGGGAUUGGGGCUUGAAAUUGUUCCCCAUGAACGAGGAAUUCCCAGUAAGCGCGAGUCAUAAGCUCGCGUUGAUUACGUCCCUGCCCUUUGUACACACCGCCCGUCGCUACUACCGAUUGAACGGUUUAGUGAGGGCGUCGGAUUGGUCUCGGCCCGCUCUUUACCGGGCGGCGCCGUUGGUCGAGAAGACGCUCGAACUUGAUCGUUUAGAGGAAGUAAAAGUCGUAACA
rnacentral:rRNA from 1 species